rnacentral:lncRNA from 1 species
UGGCAAGGUAACAAGGAGCAUCACCCAAACAAUAAAGAAGACAUUGAUUGGAAAAGAUCCCUUGGGCAUGUGACAGAAAUAAAUGAUCCAGGGAGAGGGGCACAUGGGCUGGGGCUGCUCAAGGAAGCUGAAAAACUGAAGGUAAAAGAACUAUCUGGGAUCAUGGGGUGCUCACAGUGCAGCAGUACUGAAGAGCCACGUUGAGGGCUGAGACAGUGGCAUUGACAAUGGGGACACACCAAGACAACGUGUGACUUCCUUGGGCUCCUGUCCAGAAAAGCUCUUAAGCAUCAUUAACCUGUAGACACCUGAGUGAUGUUAUUGAAGUCCAUGGAUUUUCCUUCAGAAACAGAACUGCUGAAGGUUUGUACAGAGCUUGCACUGAAAUCC